rnacentral:lncRNA from 1 species
UAUGUUUCUGUGUCAAUUGAGCUUUAGUGUGGAUCAAUAAGUGGUUUACUGCAUCCUUGUUAGUGUUGAAAUGAAUUAGAUGUAUAUCAUUUCGUUGUUCUUAGGUUCUUCAUUUAAAGAGGAAACAAGUCUGAAGCUUUCUAGUUUUUGUUAAGUUGAAGUGUCUGUAAUCUGUGUCUGGGUAUGGUGUCUCUGCAAUUGCUUUACGUUCUUGAAUAGUCAUUGAGUAUGUUGUUGUACACUUGCCUUUUGUUUUGCUUUAACAAUUGCUUUGUGAUUUGCAGGUACUAACACAUGGGACAGAUUUGAGUUGCGUGUGCACAAGCGUGUUAUUGACCUGUUCAGCUCACCUGAUGUUGUGAAGCAGAUCACCUCCAUUACUAUUGAACCUGGUGUCGAAGUGGAGGUCACAAUUGCUGAUCAAUAAACAGUUCACUUUAAGAUUCCGUCUAGCUUUCCUAGUUAAUUGGAAAUGUUCUAUCCAUGCUGUUGUUCUUUUUCCAUUUUGAAGUUGAAGACUUGGUAGUGUUUGCA